rnacentral:rRNA from 1 species
AACGAACGCUGGCGGCAUGCCUAACACAUGCAAGUCGAACGAGACCUUCGGGUCUAGUGGCGCACGGGUGCGUAACGCGUGGGAACCUGCCCUUAGGUUCGGAAUAACUCCCCGAAAGGGGUGCUAAUACCGGAUAAUGUCUUAGGACCAAAGAGUUAUCGCCUUUGGGUGGGCCGGCGUUGGAUUAGCUAGUUGGUAGGGUAAAAGCCGACCAAGGCGACGAUCCAUAGCUGGUCUGAGAGGAUGAUCAGCCACACUGGGACUGGGGCACGGCCCAGACUCCUACGGGAGGCAGCAGUGGGGAAUAUUGGACAAUGGGCGAAAGCCUGAUCCAGCGAGGCCGCGUGAGUGAUGAAGGCCUUAGGGUUGUAAAGCUCUUUUACCCGGGAUGAUAAUGACAGUACCGGGAGAAUAAGCUCCGGCUAACUCCGU